ACAUCAGGAGAGCCUGAGAAUAAAAUUCACUGAAGGUGGCAGAACAGAAAGACAGAAGAAAUCUGGGCCCAUGCCGAUGUCAUUAAACUGCUUAAUUAACCAGCCCUGGAACUGCCCCACUUCUGGACUUAUUAUUUUUAAGGACAGGAUCCCGGUCCAGUCUCCUGACUGCGUAGAGAUCCCUCUUCUUCCCGAAAGGCAGUGGAUGUACUUGAAAGGAGACUUCACGGACAUUCCCAAGGAGACCUGCAUUUUAAGCCCAGCUCUGUCUGCACUUGCUGUGUAUUGGACUAGUCAAGUCACCCACUUCAUCACGGUGAGCCAGUAUAUGGUAUUUCUCGGUGGAUGUUCCAUGUGUACUUGAAAAGAAUGUGUUUCCUCCUGUUGUUGGGUGAAGUACUCUAUAACUCUAUAAAUGUCAUUUAGCUCCA
ensembl:lncRNA LINC01804 long intergenic non-protein coding RNA 1804